CACCACUAGAGCUUGCUUUGCUCUCGCUCCGCUCGCUCCCACCUGUCUUCUUCCCACUAAAGUGAAAGAUCUUUCACUUCACCAUAGCAGGAACCUCGCUAACCUUCUCGGCCAGUUACUCUAACCACUGGGAUCCCUUCCAGCUUUCCCCCCCACCGUAAACGAUUACUAAAAAAAGAGUUUUUACGCUUUGCUUUCAACCGGCCCUAGAGCUUGAUCAUAGAGCGAAAGGCCUCUUUUAGUAUUUAAUAGUAGUGCAAAAAACUC
rnacentral:lncRNA from 1 species